CAGAGUUCAUGCCCUUACGGGUAGAUCUCCCACCCUGUGUUAUUAUUACUUUGUUGCUUUGGCGGGCCGUCAGGCUUCGGCAUGGCUACCGGCUCCGGCUGGUAAGCGCCCGCCAGAGGAUUCCAAACUCUGAAUAUUAGUGUCGUCUGAGUACUAUAUAAUAGUUA
rnacentral:misc_RNA from 1 species